AUUGAACGCUGGCGGCAUGCCUUACACAUGCAAGUCGAACGGUAACAGGUCUUCGGAUGCUGACGAGUGGCGAACGGGUGAGUAAUACAUCGGAACGUGCCUAGUAGUGGGGGAUAACUACUCGAAAGAGUGGCUAAUACCGCAUGAGAUCUACGGAUGAAAGCAGGGGAUCGCAAGACCUUGUGCUACUAGCGCGGCCGAUGGCAGAUUAGGUAGUUGGUGGGAUAAAAGCUUACCAAGCAGACGAUCUGUAGCUGGUCUGAGAGGACGAUCAGCCACACUGGGACUGAGAAACGGCCCAGACUCCUACGGGAGGCAGCAGUGGGGAAUUUUGGACAAUGGGCGCAAGCCUGAUCCAGCAAUGCCGCGUGCAGGAUGAAGGCCUUCGGGUUGUAAACUGCUUUUGUACGGAACGAAAAGCCCCGGGUUAAUACCCUGGGGUCAUGACGGUACCGUAAGAAUAAGCACCGGCUAACUACGUGCCAGCAGCCGCCGUAA
rnacentral:rRNA from 1 species